rnacentral:rRNA from 1 species
UACGUAGGGUGCGAGCGUUAAUCGGAAUUACUGGGCGUAAAGGGUGCGUAGGCGGUUGUUUAAGUCUGUCGUGAAAUCCCCGGGCUCAACCUGGGAAUGGCGAUGGAUACUGGACAGCUAGAGUGUGUCAGAGGAUGGUGGAAUUCCCGGUGUAGCGGUGAAAUGCGUAGAGAUCGGGAGGAACAUCAGUGGCGAAGGCGGCCAUCUGGGACAACACUGACGCUGAAGCACGAAAGCGUGGGGAGCAAACAGG